UCAAUUGCUUGACAGCAAAAU
rnacentral:piRNA from 1 species